AGUGAACGCUGGCGGCAGGCCUAAUACAUGCAAGUCGAACGGCAGCACAGCAGAGCUUGCUCUGUGGGUGGCGAGUGGCGGACGGGUGAGGAAUACAUGGGAAUCUGCCCAGUCGUGGGGGAUAACGUAUGGAAACGUACGCUAAUACCGCAUGCGCCCUAAGGGGGAAAGCCGGGGACCGCAAGGCCUGGCGCGAUUGGAUGAGCCCAUGUUCGAUUAGCUAGUUGGCGGGGUAAAGGCCCACCAAGGCGACGAUCGAUAGCUGGUCUGAGAGGAUGAUCAGCCACACUGGAACUGAGACACGGUCCAGACUCCUACGGGAGGCAGCAGUAGGGAAUAUUGGACAAUGGGGGCAACCCUGAUCCAGCCAUGCCGCGUGAGUGAAGAAGGCCCUCGGGUUGUAAAGCUCUUUUGUCCGGAAAGAAAGCAAUCGGUUAAUACCCGGUUGUUCUGACGGUACCGGAAGAAUAAGCACCGGCUAACUUCGUGCC
rnacentral:rRNA from 1 species